AUCAGUGUGGCUUAGUGGUUGAAGCACUGGAGUAUGAUUCUGGAGACCAGAGUUCGAUUCCCAGCUCAGCCA